GGGCCGGUAGCUCAGCUGGUUAGAGCAGCGGACUCAUAAUCCGUCGGUCCCAGGUUCGAGUCCUGGCCGGCCCA
rnacentral:tRNA from 1 species